rnacentral:misc_RNA from 1 species
GAUGAAGAACGCAGCGAAAUGCGAUAAGUAAUGCGAAUUGCAGAAUUUCCGUGAGUCAUCGAAUCUUUGAACGCACAUUGCACCUCUCGGUAUUCCGGGAGGUAUGCCUGUUCGAGCGUCAUUUGUACCCUCAAGCUCUGCUUGGUGUUGGGUGUUUGUUCCGCCUCUGUGUGUGAACUCGCCUCAAAACAAUUGGCAGCCGGCGUACUUGUUUCGGAGCGCAGCACAUUUUGCGAUCCAGAUCAACGUACAGCGGCAUCCAAGAAGCCUUAUUUAACGCUCUUGACCUCGGAUCAGGUAGGGAUACCCGCUGAACUUAAGCAUAUCAAUAAGCGGAGGA